UGGGGAACAUUGCACAAUGGGCGCAAGCCUGAUGCAGCCAUGCCGCGUGUAUGAAGAAGGCCUUCGGGUUGUAAAGUACUUUCAGCGGGGAGGAAGGGAGUAAAGUUAAUACCUUUGCUCAUUGACGUUACCCGCAGAAGAAGCACCGGCUAACUCCGUGCCAGCAGCCGCGGUAAUACGGAGGGUGCAAGCGUUAAUCGGAAUUACUGGGCGUAAAGCGCACGCAGGCGGUUUGUUAAGUCAGAUGUGAAAUCCCCGGGCUCAACCUGGGAACUGCAUCUGAUACUGGCAAGCUUGAGUCUCGUAGAGGGGGGUAGAAUUCCAGGUGUAGCGGUGAAAUGCGUAGAGAUCUGGAGGAAUACCGGUGGCGAAGGCGGCCCCCUGGACGAAGACUGACGCUCAGGUGCGAAAGCGUGGGGAGCAAACAGG
rnacentral:rRNA from 2 species